rnacentral:tRNA from 1 species
GCGGCCGUGGCGUAACGGGCAGCCGCGCAGGUUUUAGGUACCUGUGGAGGAAACUCCGUGAGGGUUCGAAUCCCUCCGGCCGCA